rnacentral:rRNA from 1 species
AAAAGAACCUGAAACCGUGUACGUACAAGCAGUGGGAGCACAGGUUUACCUGUGUGACUGCGUACCUUUUGUAUAAUGGGUCAGCGACUUAUAUUCUGUAGCAAGGUUAACCGAAUAGGGGAGCCGGAGGGAAACCGAGUCUUAAUUGGGCGUUAAGUUGCAGGGUAUAGACCCGAAACCCGGUGAUCUAGCCAUGGGCAGGUUGAAGGUUGGGUAACACUAACUGGAGGACCGAACCGACUAAUGUUGAAAAAUUAGCGGAUGACCUGUGGCUGGGGGUGAAAGGCCAAUCAAACCGGGAGAUAGCUGGUUCUCCCCGAAAGCUAUUUAGGUAGCGCCUCGUGAAUUCAUCUCCGGGGGUAGAGCACUGUUUCGGCUAGGGGGCCAUCCCGGCUUACCAACCCGAUGCAAACUGCGAAUACCGGAGAAUGUUAUCACGGGAGACACACGGCGGGUGCUAACGUCCGUCGUGAAGAGGGAAACAACCCAGACCGCCAGCUAAGGUCCCAAAGUCAUGGUUAAGUGGGAAACGAUGUGGGAAGGCCCAGACAGCCAGGAUGUUGGCUUAGAAGCAGCCAUCAUUUAAAGAAAGCGUAAUAGCUCACUGGUCGAGUCGGCCUGCGCGGAAGAUGUAACGGGGCUAAACCAUGCACCGAAGCUGCGGCAGCGAACGUAUCACUUAAAGCGAUUCAGCGGGUUACGAUUGACGGAGCGAAGCGACGUCAAAGCGUAUACAAAGUCGAGUCGGUUUAAGGAUACGUUCGUUGGGUAGGGGAGCGUUCUGUAAGCCUGUGAAGGUGGCCUGUGAGGGUUGCUGGAGGUAUCAGAAGUGCGAAUGCUGACAUAAGUAACGAUAAAGCGGGUGAAAAGCCCGCUCGCCGGAAGACCAAGGGUUCCUGUCCAACGUUAAUCGGGGCAGGGUGAGUCGACCCCUAAGGCGAGGCCGAAAGGCGUAGUCGAUGGGAAACGGGUUAAUAUUCCCGUACUUGGUGUUACUGCGAAGGGGGGACGGAGAAGGCUAUGUUGGCCGG